CUCCGCUCCGCGGCCGGCCGGCCGGAGCCCGGGCGGCGCCGCGCCCAGGGGCGGACCCCAAACUUUCCUCCGACUCAAAAGCGGCGGCGCGCGACGCGGAGCCCGCUCCGUCCCUGUCCUGCCUCCGACGCCGGGGCCGCUAGUCCCGCUAGCUGCGCUGCCCCCGCCGCCGCCGCCAUGGCCAAGCCCCUGACGGACCAAGAGAAGCGGCGGCAGAUCAGCAUCCGCGGCAUCGUGGGCGUGGAGAACGUGGCCGAGCUGAAGAAGGGCUUCAACCGGCACCUGCACUUCACGCUGGUCAAGGACCGCAACGUGGCCACCCCCCGCGACUACUUCUUCGCGCUGGCGCACACGGUGCGCGACCACCUGGUGGGGCGCUGGAUCCGCACGCAGCAGUACUACUACGAGAAGUGCCCCAAGAGGGUUUAUUACCUCUCUUUGGAAUUUUACAUGGGCCGAACAUUACAGAACACCAUGAUCAACCUUGGUCUGCAAAACGCCUGUGACGAGGCCAUUUACCAGCUUGGAUUGGAUAUGGAAGAGCUGGAAGAAAUUGAAGAAGAUGCUGGGCUUGGCAAUGGUGGUCUUGGGAGGCUUGCUGCCUGCUUCUUGGAUUCCAUGGCAACCUUGGGACUUGCAGCCUAUGGAUAUGGCAUUCGAUAUGAAUAUGGAAUCUUUAAUCAGAAGAUCCGAGAUGGAUGGCAGGUAGAAGAGGCAGAUGAUUGGCUCAGGCAUGGAAACCCCUGGGAGAAAGCCCGUCCGGAAUUCAUGCUGCCUGUACACUUCUACGGCAAAGUAGAGCACACCAAGACGGGGGCCAAAUGGGUCGACACGCAGGUGGUCCUGGCCCUGCCAUAUGACACCCCGGUGCCCGGGUAUAUGAACAACACCGUCAACACCAUGCGCCUCUGGUCCGCUCGAGCCCCGAAUGACUUUAACCUCAGAGAUUUUAACGUUGGAGACUACAUUCAGGCUGUGCUGGACCGAAAUCUGGCCGAGAACAUCUCCCGGGUCCUCUAUCCCAAUGAUAAUUUUUUUGAAGGCAAGGAGCUAAGACUGAAGCAGGAGUACUUUGUGGUGGCUGCUACCUUGCAAGAUGUCAUCCGACGUUUCAAAGCCUCCAAGUUUGGCUCCACUGACAGUGCCAAGACCACAUUUGAUGCCUUUCCAGACCAGGUUGCCAUCCAGCUGAAUGACACGCACCCCGCACUCGCCAUCCCUGAGCUGAUGAGGAUUUUUGUGGAUAUUGAAAAAUUGCCCUGGUCCAAGGCCUGGGAGAUCACCCAGAAGACCUUCGCCUACACCAACCACACAGUGCUUCCAGAGGCCCUGGAGCGCUGGCCCGUGGAGCUGGUGGAAAACUUGCUUCCUCGACAUUUGCAAAUCAUUUAUGAGAUAAAUCAGAAGCAUUUAGAUAGAAUCGCGGCCUUGUUUCCUAAAGAUGUUGACCGUCUGAGAAGGAUGUCUCUGAUUGAAGAGGAAGGAGGCAAACGGAUCAACAUGGCCCACCUCUGCAUUGUGGGCUCCCACGCUGUGAACGGCGUGGCCAAAAUCCACUCAGACAUCGUGAAGACCCAAGUAUUCAAGGACUUCAGCGAGCUAGAACCAGACAAGUUUCAGAAUAAAACCAAUGGGAUCACUCCAAGGCGCUGGCUCUUACUCUGCAACCCCGGACUUGCAGAAUUAAUAGCAGAGAAAAUUGGGGAAGACUACGUGAAAGACUUGAGCCAGCUGACAAAGCUGCAUAGCUUCGUGGGUGAUGACGUCUUUCUCCGAGAACUCGCCAACGUGAAGCAGGAGAACAAGCUGAAGUUUUCUCAGUUCCUAGAGAAGGAGUACAAAGUGAAGAUCAACCCAUCCUCCAUGUUCGAUGUGCACGUGAAGAGGAUCCAUGAGUACAAGCGGCAGCUCUUGAACUGCCUGCAUGUGGUCACCAUGUACAACCGCAUUAAGAAAGACCCUAAGAAGUUAUUUGUGCCCAGAACCGUCAUAAUUGGUGGCAAAGCCGCCCCAGGAUAUCACAUGGCCAAAAUGAUCAUAAAGCUGAUUACUUCGGUGGCAGAUGUGGUGAACAAUGACCCUAUGGUUGGAAGCAAGUUGAAAGUCAUCUUCUUGGAGAACUACAGAGUAUCUCUUGCUGAGAAAGUCAUUCCAGCUACCGAUCUCUCGGAGCAGAUUUCCACCGCAGGCACUGAAGCCUCAGGGACAGGCAAUAUGAAAUUCAUGCUGAAUGGGGCCCUGACCAUCGGGACUAUGGAUGGAGCCAAUGUGGAAAUGGCAGAGGAAGCUGGGGAAGAGAACCUGUUCAUCUUUGGCAUGAGAGUAGAUGAUGUGGCUGCUUUGGACAAGAAAGGCUAUGAUGCAAAAGAAUAUUAUGAGGCACUUCCAGAGCUUAAGCUGGUGAUUGAUCAAAUCGACAAUGGCUUCUUUUCUCCCAAACAGCCUGACCUCUUCAAAGACUUAAUCAACAUGCUAUUUUAUCAUGACAGGUUUAAAGUCUUUGCAGACUAUGAGGCCUAUGUCAAGUGUCAAGAAAAAGUCAGCCAGCUGUACAUGAAUCCAAAGGCCUGGAACACAAUGGUACUCAAAAACAUAGCUGCCGCAGGGAAGUUCUCUAGUGACCGAACAAUUAAGGAAUACGCCAGGGACAUUUGGAACAUGGAGCCUUCAGAUAUCAAGAUUUCCUUAUCCAGUGAAUCUAGCAAUGGGGUGAACAAAGCCAAUGGAAAUUUCAGUUACCUGCAGUCAAGUAUGGUCCAGAAGGAGAUAAUCCUGCUUCUGUCAUAUUGUCAGAAGCAGUGCAUGAAAAACCAUCAGAUCCUCAGGAUUCUGGCUGGAUCUUAGGACGAAAUGAGCCAGUGAAAAAAAGAUCCCCACUUCUGAUGUGACAUCCCAGGAGCCUUCUGACCCCAGCACCAUCAAAGAAAGUCCUCUAAAAGGAAUUUCUCCCUCAAGUGUUAAUACCAAAAAUUCUGAGUGCUUAUAUGUUUGGAAGAGGCAUGAAGGGAAGAAGAUCAUACGGCGCCAAUGAAUUUCCAGCACUUCUGUAGGGAGUGGAAAAGAGACGUGGGCUAAGUGUAAUGGGUAGCCCUCCAAGUAGCAGGCAUAAGCAACUGCCUAAAAUCAGCAAGGAGAAAAUGAACAUGACUGUUUCAUAAUACUUUAAAAUAGCCUCUGCGAAGGAGGUAGGAAGGAGAGGACAUUAUUGUUCUGAUUUUAGAGAUAGGAAGCCAACACCCAGAGAAGCUGCUUUGACCCCCAGAUCAAGCCCAAAUAGGCAGAACGGAACACAGGCUGAAUUCUUGUGCUUCCUUCCAGUUGGCUGGCUCAGGCUUGCUUUCUCCUGACUCUGAACUCACACUACCCUCCCUGUUAGUUUCCCACUAAGUUAUCUUUUGAAAGUAGCAGGGUGCUUGGGAAGCAGAGGCAGUGGAGGGAAAUAUGUUUCUGUUUUUAAAGAAUAAUUCAUACAGGACCCUUCUCUCAAAUAGCUCAAGGCACUUCUGUGAGAAUCGCUGCGGGAAGAGAACAGAGUGACCGGAUCCCUCGGAGCAUCAAUAAUGCACAGCAACUUCUUUUAACUAGGGGUUGUCAAUUUGACUUCCCCGAGAUCAGUGGGGGAUCAAAAGUCACCAGUAGCUAGCAGACCUUAUUUGAGUGGAGGAUGCAGUUUCAGCCCAAUCCCCGCUAACGGCCAGCCACAUCAAACAGCCACCUUGAUGCUUUGGUGUUCUUUUGCCUGUCCUUUGAUCAGAUGUGGCUGUAACUGCACAGCUUCCCGCAGGGGCCACAGAACCUAAAGGGAUCAUUCUUACCUUGGAACCGGAGUUGCUGCAGGGCAAAUCAUUCAUGUCCACGCUCAGAGGCCUCCGCUUUGGGAAGCCCAGCUCUGACCCCAUUUGGCAAGACAGCUAUUCCAAACAGUAAGACACGCCAUACAUGCAUCCCAUGUACCCAUUCAUUCAGCCAACAUGGAUUGAUCACCAAGCACCUAA